UACGUAGGGUGCAAGCGUUGUCCGGAAUUAUUGGGCGUAAAGAGCUCGUAGGCGGUUUGUUGCGUCGGCUGUGAAAUCCCGAGGCUCAACCUCGGGUCUGCAGUCGAUACGAGCAAACUAGAGUGUUGCAGGGGAGACUGGAAUUCCUGGUGUAGCGGUGAAAUGACGCAGAUAUCAGGAGGAACACCGGUGGCGAAGGCGGCGCUCUGGCUCGCAACUGACGCUCAGACACGACAGCAUGGGGAGCGAACGGG
rnacentral:rRNA from 1 species